CGGAGGAAGGUGGGGAUGACGUCAAGUCAUCAUGGCCCUUAUGUCCAGGGCUACACACGUGCUACAAUGGACGGUACAGAACGAUGCGAAACCGCGAGGCGAAGCAAAUCGGCGAAAACCGUUCGUAGUUCGGAUUGGAGUCUGAAACCCGACUCCAUGAAGUUGGAAUCGCUAGUAAUCGCGCAUCAGCACGGCGCGGUGAAUACGUUCCCGGGCCUU
rnacentral:rRNA from 1 species